UUUACUUUUUUCUUCUUUUUCCUCUUUUUUUGUUUGGUGCAUUUCCUCCCCACCUAUUUGAGAGAGCAAACACUGGUACAACAUUCACAAAUACCUCACCCGCAUACAACGAACAAGACAAAAAACAAAGA
rnacentral:ribozyme from 1 species